rnacentral:misc_RNA from 1 species
UCUCCGUUGGUGAACCAGCGGAGGGAUCAUUACCGAGUUUACAAACUCCCAAACCCUUUGUGAACCUUACCAUAUUGUUGCUUCGGCGGGACCGCCCCGGCGCCUUCGGGCCCGGAACCAGGCGCCCGCCGGAGGCCCCAAACUCUUAUGUCUUUAGUGGUUUUCUCCUCUGAGUGACACAUAAACAAAUAAAUAAAAACUUUCAACAACGGAUCUCUUGGUUCUG